rnacentral:hammerhead_ribozyme from 14 species
AUCCAACCGAUGAGUCCCAAAUAGAACGAAACCUGCGUCCUGGAU